AUUAAAGAAGUUAAAUUGGUCUAACAAGGAGCCUAAAAUUCCUGGGAAAGGGGUUCGAUUCCUCUCUUUAAUU
rnacentral:tRNA from 1 species